rnacentral:tRNA from 5 species
GCACUUGUAGCUCAACUGGAUAGAGCAUCGGUCUACGAAACCGAAGGUUACAGGUUCGAUUCCCGUCAAGUGCA